rnacentral:rRNA from 1 species
UUCCGGUUGAUCCCGCCGGAGACUACUACUAUCAGGAUUCGGCUUAGCCAUGCGAGGUACUUGUAGCGAUACAAACCGUACUGCUCAGUAACACGUAGUCAACCUGCCCUACAGACGGGGAUAAUCCUGGGAAACUGGGCGUAAUACCCGAUAGGCGAUUAUUGCUGGAAGGCUUUUUCGCUUAAAGCAGCAAUGUGCUGUAGGAUGGGACUGCGACGGAUUAGCUUGUUGUUGAGGUAAAGACUGAAAUCGAAAGAUUUCUUUCGCCUAUUUGCUCAACAAGGCUGUAAUCCGUACGGGUCGUGAGAGCGAUUGCCCGGAGAUGGCUUCUGAGACAUGAAGCCAGGCCCUACGGGGCGCAGCAGGCGCGAAAACUUCGCAAUGCCUGAAAGGGUGACGAGGGAAUCCUGAGUGAUAUCGCAAUGCGGUAUCUUUUGUUUACUGUAAAUAGGUAGACGAAUAAGGGGUGGGUAAGACGGUUGCCAGCCGCCGCGGUAAUUCGGAGAAUUGAAGAAAAAGGAUUUGGCAUGAAAUGUGUUCUUACAUUUCAAUUCUGAAUUUGCAGUUCUCCGGACCGCAAAUAACCGCGCCCCAAGUUGUAGUCACGUUUAUUGGGCCUAAAGCGUCCGUAGCUGGUUUGAUAAGUCUUUGGUGAAAUCCAACAGCAAACUGUUGGAAUGGCUGGAGAUACUAUCAGACUCGAGACCGGGAGAGGUCAGGGGUAUUUCACGGGUAAGAGUAAAAUCUUUUAAUCCGUGAAGGACCACCUGUGGCGAAGGCGCCUGACUGGAACGGGUCUGACAGUGAGGGACGAAAGCGUGGGGAGCAACCGGGAUUAGAUACCCCGUUAGUCCACGCUGUAAACGAUGCCCAUUUGGUGUCACACAAUCUUCGAGAUUCUGUGGUGCCGUAGCGAAGGUGUUAAAUGGGCCGCCUGGGGAGUACGACCGCAAGGUUGAAUUCCUCCAAAAAUGAGGACAACACACUUAAGGGAAUUGGCGGGGGAGCACUACCAGGGGUGGAGGCUGGCGGUUUAAUUGGAUUCAACGCCAGGACCUUACCCAUGAAGCAGCAGAAUGAGGGUCACUCUAAAGGGGUUACCUGACAAGCUGAGAAGUGCUGCAUGGCCGUCGUCAGUUCGUGCUGUGAAGUGUCGUGUUAAGUCACGAAACGAACGAGACCCUUGCCGUUAGUUGCUACUAUCCUCCCGGAGGGUAGGCACUCUAGCGGGACCGCUGUUGCUAAAACAGAGGAAGGAGAGGGCUACGGCAGGUCAGUAUGGCCUGAAUUUAUGGGGAUACACGCGGCCUACAAUGCGUAGGACAACGGGAUGCAACGCCGUAAGGCGAAGCCAAUCUCUUAAACCUACGCCUAGUUCGGAUCGUGGGCUGCAACUCGCCCACGUGAAGCCGGAAUCCCUAGUAAGCGAAGGUCAUCAACGGAGCAAGUGCAAGAUGAUUUUUUGGCGGCUGAAAAUUCUGCGUCAUAAGAAGGUUUGACUAUGAGCGCGCGAGCGCGAUGAAUAUAGACUGGGCGGAUGACGCAUGUUUUUGGCAAGCAGCACUAUGAUGCAUUUGCUUCAGUGGAAUCUUUCGCUGAAUACGUCCCUGCUCCUUGCACACACCGCCCGUCAAACCAUCCGAGUGGACUUUUGGUGAAGCUCGCGCAGAGCGAUUUGAAUCACAAGUCUGCAAGGAGGGUUAAGUCGUAACA